GCCUACGGGGGGCAGCAGUGGGGAAUAUUGGGCAAUGGGCGCAAGCCUGACCCAGCAACGCCGCGUGAAGGAAGAAGGUCUUCGGAUUGUAAACUUUUGUCUUAUGGGACGAUAAUGACGGUACCAUAGGAGGAAGUCACGACUAACUACGUGCCAGCAGUCGCGGUAAUACGUAGGUGGCAAGCGUUAUCCGGAUUUACUGGGUGUAAAGGGCGUGUAGGCGGGAAAGCAAGUCAGAUGUGAAAACCAUGGGCUCAACCUGUGGCCUGCCUUUGAAACUGUUUUUCUUGAGUACUGGAGAGGCA
rnacentral:rRNA from 1 species